UACGUAGGGGGCAAGCGUUGUCCGGAAUCAUUGGGCGUAAAGCGCGUGUAGGCGGCUCGGUAAGUCCGCUCUGAAAGUCCAGGGCUCAACCCUGGGAUGCGGGUGGAUACUGCCGGGCUCGAGUCCGGAAGAGGCGAGUGGAAUCCCGGUGUAGCGGUGAAAUGCGCAGAUAUCGGGAGGACACCAAUGGCGAAGGCGGGUCUCGGGCCGUGA
rnacentral:rRNA from 1 species